GGAAACAAUACAGGGAGGAAGCAAAACUGAACACACUAAACCCAAAAUAAAACAGGAAAUACACGAAACAUGCUGAGACACAAACUCAACACUGGGACUGGGUAAGAACAGACAUGAGAACAAAACUAACCCGAUGUGACACAUGAAACACGAGGGAGGCACAGUAACAAAACUAAUAACUAGAAAUCACAAAAUAUAAUCAGAGAAUAACCAAGGAAGCUAGAAUUACAUAUGACUAAAUAAUCAAAAACACUAACUCAAAGCAUACCAUAAAUUAGAAAACACAUAAACACUGGGUACCCAGACCCAGGACCAUGACAGCUUCAUCAUUACAGUGCUAUUGACAAAUCCAGUACAUAUUGUAUUUUUUAAGUCCUGUUUUUGAUUUUGUUGUAGAUGGCUUAACGAACAAACGAUGUCUUGGAAAGCUGUUACCCAAUGAGGAAGCAAACAUGGCAAUAAACUCAGUACCUGCUCCUGACAACCCUGUUGCAGAUUUUAUUAAACAAGGUGGGGAAGAAUCCUCAGAAUAAUGAA